rnacentral:tRNA from 1 species
ACGGGUUUAGCUCAGUUGGUAGAGCGACGGUCUCCAAAACCGUAAGUCGAGAGUUCGAGCCUUUCAACCCGUG